AACGGUCUAUACCUGCGGUACCUGCGGAGGGAUCAUUAUUGAUUUUUAAAGGAUGUGCUGGCCUUUUGGCAUGUGCACUCUUAACAAAAACCAAUAUCCACCUGUGCACAAUCUGUAGGCAUAUUGCCUAUGUUCUUUACAAACAACUAUGAUAUAUUUGAAUGACUUAAAAAUAUUGUAAAACAACUUUCAACAAUGGAUCUCU
rnacentral:misc_RNA from 1 species